rnacentral:lncRNA from 1 species
AAGAAUCCAAUUUAAAAUCAUGGUUAGCAGGCCAUACACAAAUUAUGAUUGCAACCUCCGCCUUUUCAAUGGGUGUAGACAAUCAAAAGGCAAGUUUUGUCUUUCAUAUAGGGUUACCAGAUUGAUCUCACGCCUUCUUGUCCAACAAUUCAGCGUUGGCGACAACGGUUUUCCAACGUCAUGAUCGAAAUUCCAGCCCGCCUCCGACAAUUCAUACCAGACCGGAGACCUGCUCUGGUCUACCCCUCGGAGCCUCUAGUGUUGGGUCCCUUCGAAGAUACCCCUCAGGCACGCGCAGAGAGGGAGUUGCGUGCUGCUAGGUGGCCGAUCUUCGACCCACCAUAUGAGGUCAUUAAUUGGGAGGGCGAUAUUCGUCCUCUCCCCACAUAUGAUGCUUGGGUCGAUUCAGAGGCUUUGAAGGCUCAAGCAGACGCGAGAAAAAAGGCGGAAAUUUUGGAUAAGCAACAAGACGAAGCGACUCAGCAGCAUGAGAAUUACACUUACCAACUGGCUGUUCGACUCGCUGAACAGGCAGAGAGGCGAAAGCGACAGUAUAAUCAAGAAGUCACACAGUACCAUCAACUUCAUCAACGGCCAGAGAGCAGACGAGAAUUCGAUCUGAACGACCCCGAUUACCUCAGGAAAUCAAAGCCGGCAAGAACGUCCGAUGAUGACCCGACUUUGACAAUAUCAUCUGCACAAAGUGAGUGUAUGAUUAAAUAUUUAUACUUCGCCUUUGACUCAAACAUCGUCCUGCGACCUCACUUGCAUCUCCUUCGGAAAGGCAGUCUCAAGGCUUCCGAAUUCCGGGCAUUAUGCCUCUUGAAGUCCCGGGCUAAAUUUCACCUCAGGAUAUUAUGGUUUCUUCUUCACCACAGGGGCUGAGAGGGAAUUCGCAUGUCAUGUUUGGUCCUUUCAGGAGAACACGCAUUAAAGAAAAAAAUAUAACGAACCCAUGGGCGUAGCUAGGGGGGUCCUGCCCCCCCCCCCCCUAGAAAAACGGAGACACAAACUCGGACAACAUGUGACCGGCCACGCGGCACACAGCAAAAUAUUCUGCGAAGAAUCAAGUCGUGGCUUCGUUCUACGACCGGUCAAUCAAGAUUUUCAAAUCUUGCUAUUCUUCACAUAGGAAAGCUAGUUUUCACAGAAAAGGUUCCCGCUGCUGCUAUCAUCGAAGAUUUUUGUCGUAAGAAGAGAAAAUUCAUGUAAUCCAAAUUUUGCCACUUGUCAUCGCUUCCACUCAAUUACAUGCAAGUAGCGAAGUUUUUUUUUUGUAAAAUUACCAUAUCAAUUUCAGCUUUCUUCUUUAUGCUACAUUUAUACGUGACUGUUGUUUUUUUCGAGUGUAUAAAGUCUAAAGACAAAGAACCAACUUGAUCAUGAAGUCUGUGCUAUUACCUCCUGACCCAAAUUAUCCCUCUAAGUAUUCUACAAAAAUGAAAUGUCAUGAAAAACAUGUUAUUUUUAUUUUAAAAACAAAUCCGGUUGCGGGGGGGGGGGGCGUUACCUCUUAAGCUUGGGAUCCUCACCCCCCCCCCCCGCCUCUCUUCACCACGAGAGGAGAGGUGGUCCCAUGCCCCCCCCCCCCCCCAGAGAAAUUUCCUAGCUACGCCCCUGAACAAACCGCAAGAAAGACACCCUAGGGAAGAAGAUGAAUUGGUUACAUUUCCGCCAAAUACAAUUGAGGAAAGAGAAAUCCCACUCGAUACUCGUUUGCGAAAAUUUCUCCGGCCCUUUUAAAGAAAUUAACAUCGAAAAGAAGAGCCCUAAUUUUCCAGACCUAGUUUCUUCUCGCCCACCGCGAUUCUUAAAAUUGAGAUAACCAGCAGCUGCGCAAAGUUACACGUCUAAAUGGCGCAUGCAACUCGUCUAAGUAAUUAUGUCCAAAUGUGCGCGUGACACAGCUAUGUCUGGACGAAUGACGCUGUUAUUUUAUAAGUUGGUACCAUAGCUUUCCCUCUACUUAAACCCAUUAAAAAUAUCGGUUUUGGGUGAGGCAAGCUGCUUUGUCAAGAAUCGAUUAUUUUACAAACAUCGAUGGCGACUUUCAAGAAUCGCCACUGAACUUGUCCUGGUAAAUCCAUCCAAUCGUUCUCAGAUGAAGGUUUAC